rfam:Alkaliphilus metalliredigens QYMF, complete genome.
AUACAUUGGGGAGUACAGAGGGGAUUCCCCUCUGUCGUAUUAAGGAGGGUGCUCAGGCUGUCUUGCAGCCGUCGAAGGGAAC